rnacentral:rRNA from 1 species
UUUAAAUGUAAAAUAUAUUGUUAAGUAGUAUUAGUUAUGGUCUUGAAAUUUAAAAAUUUUGGCGGUAUUUUAGUCUAUUUAGAGGAACCUGUUCUAUAAUUGAUAGUCCACGAUUAACUUUACUUAUUUUGUAAAUUUGUAUAUCGUCGUUAUUAGAAGAUUUUAUUAGAAUAUAAAUUUUUAUUAAUUUAAAUUAAAAUAAAUUUCAGAUCAAGGUGCAGUUUAUAUUUAAGAAGAAAUGGGUUACAAUAAAUUUAUUUAAUAUGGAUUAAAGUAAUAAAUGCUUUAUUAAAGUGGAUUUAAUAGUAAUAAAAUUUAUUUUAAUUUUAUGAUUUUAGCUCUAAAAUAUGU